GUGAAAUUUUACACAAUGACUCUUCGAUUCAAUCACCUUUCUCUUUUCUGUUUCUUAAGCAUUGUCCUGGUUUUUCUUUCAUUAGCAUCUGUGAAUUCUGAAAAUUGCUUCGGCACAUGCCUGGAUUUAGGAAGCUCUCCACAAUGUAAUAAAGACUGCAUUGCUAAGGGUUUCAAAUCUGGUGGAUGUGUGUAUAACACUCCAAAUGUUGCUACUUGUUGUUGUGCCAGAGAUAAUUAAGAACGAGUUAUUGUAAAAUUAUAACCAUCAAAAUAAUAAAUAAAUACCUUUCCAUUUUCAAUUAUACGUUAUUUUAAUAAAAAUGGUUGUUUGUAAUUAUAAAUUAUUUACUUCUAUUUUUA